UACGGAGGGUGCAAGCGUUGUUCGGAAUUAUUGGGCGUAAAGGGCGCGUAGGUGGCUCUGUAAGUCAGGGGUGAAAUGCUGCGGCUCAACCGCAGCGCUGCCCUUGAGACUGCAAGGCUUGAGCACGGUAGAGGCCGAUGGAAUUCCCGGUGUAGCGGUGGAAUGCGUAGAGAUCGGGAAGAACACCGAUGGCGAAGGCAGUCGGCUGGGCCGUUGCUGACACUGAGGCACGAAAGCGUGGGUAGCAAACGGG
rnacentral:rRNA from 1 species